GACGAACGCUGGCGGCAUGCCUAAUACAUGCAAGUCGAGCGAACAGAUGAAGUGCUUGCACUUCUGACGUUAGCGGCGAACGGGUGAGUAACACGUAAGGAAUCUACCUAUAAGCGGGGGAUAACAUUCGGAAACGGGUGCUAAUACCGCAUAAUAUCUUCUUCCGCAUGGAAGAAGAUUGAAAGACGGCUCUGCUGUCACUUAUAGAUGACCUUGCGGUGCAUUAGUUAGUUGGUGGGGUAACGGCCUACCAAGACGAUGAUGCAUAGCCGACCUGAGAGGGGGAUCGGCCACAUUGGGACGGAGGCACGGCCCAAACUCCUACGGGAGGCAGCAGUAGGGAAUCUUCCGCAAUGGGCGAAAGCCUGACGGAGCAAUGCCGCGUGAGUGAAGAAGGCCUUCGGGUCGUAAAACUCUGUUAUAAGAGAAGAACAAAUUGUAGAGUAACUGCUACAGUCUUGACGGUAUCUUAUCAGAAAGCCACGGCUAACUACGUGCCAGCAGCCGCGGUAA
rnacentral:rRNA from 1 species